rnacentral:rRNA from 1 species
UACGGGGGGGGCAAGCGUUGUUCGGAAUUACUGGGCGUAAAGGGCUCGUAGGUGGCCAACUAAGUCGGACGUGAAAUCCCUCGGCUUAACCGGGGAACUGCAUCCGAUACUGGAUGGCUUGAGUUCGGGAUAGGGAUGCGGAAUUCCAGGUGUAGCGGUGAAAUGCGUAGAUAUCUGGAGGAACACCGGUGGCGAAGGCGGCAUCCUGGACCGACACUGACGCUGAGGAGCGAAAGCCAGGGGAGCAAACGGG